CCUACGGGAGGCAGCAGUGAGGAAUAUUGGUCAAUGGACGAGAGUCUGAACCAGCCAAGUAGCGUGAAGGAUGACUGCCCUAUGGGUUGUAACCUUCUUUUAUAUGGGAAUAAACUGUUCCACGUGUGGGCUUUUGUAUGUACCAUAUGAAUAAGGAUCGGCUAACUCCGUGCCAGCAGCCGCGGUAAUCCGGAGGAUCCGAGCGUUAUCCGGAUUUAUUGGGUUUAAGGGGGGCGUAGGUGGAUUGUUAAGUCAGUUGGGAAAGUUUGGGGCUCAACCGUAAAAGUGCCGUUGAAACUGGCAGUCUGGAGUAGAGUAGAGGUGGGCGGAAUUCGUGGUGUAGCGGUGAAAUGCUUAGAUAUCACGAAGAACUCCGAUUGCGAAGGCAGCUCGCUGGACUGCAACUGACACUGAGGCUCGAAAGCGUGGGUAUCAAACAGGAUUAGAUACCCCGGUAGUC
rnacentral:rRNA from 1 species